AGAGGGUGCAAACGUUGUUCGGAAUUACUGGGCGUAAAGCGCGUGCAGGCGGCCUUGCAAGUCGGACGUGAAAUCCCACGGCUCAACCGUGGAAGUGCAUUCGAAACUGCGAGGCUGGAGUCCUGGAGAGGAAAGUGGAAUACUCGGUGUAGAGGUGAAAUUCGUAGAUAUCGAGUGGAACACCGGUGGCGAAGGCGGCUUUCUGGACAGGUACUGACGCUGAGACGCGAAAGCGUGGGGAGCAAACAGGAUUAGAUACCCUGGUAGUCCACGCCGUAAACGAUGAGUGCUAGGUGUCACGGGCUUUGACCCUCGUGGUGCCGAAGCUAACGCGUUAAGCACUCCGCCUGGGGAGUACGGCCGCAAGGUUA
rnacentral:rRNA from 1 species